rnacentral:rRNA from 1 species
CAGUAGCCGCGGGAAUACGUAGGGUGCGAGCGUUAAUCGGAAUUACUGGGCGUAAAGCGUGCGCAGGCGGUUGUGUAAGACAGGUGUGAAAUCCCCGGGCUUAACCUGGGAACUGCGCUUGUGACUGCACAGCUAGAGUAUGGCAGAGGGGGGUGGAAUUCCACGUGUAGCAGUGAAAUGCGUAGAGAUGUGGAGGAACACCGAUGGCGAAGGCAGCCCCCUGGGCCAAUACUGACGCUCACGCACGAAAGCGUGGGGAGCAAACAGGAUUAGAUACCCCUGUAGUCCCUGUCUCUUAUAC